AUUUGGAGGACGCUAUAAAUCGAUUUAUCGAAUAAAGUUCUGUAUACAUAUUUAUAAUGACAAUAUGUACAUAUGUCUUGACUAAUUACGUGCCAGCAGUCGCGGCAAUACGUAAGAGACUAGUGUUAUUCAUCAUAAAUAGGUUUAAAGGGUACUUAGACGGAAAAAUUUGCCUUGAUUGGUACGAUUUUUCUAGAGUUUUAUGUGAAAAGGUAGUACUCAUGUGUGAAGAGAUAAAAUUUGUUGAUACCUAGGAGGACUGGUAAAGGCGAAGGCAACCUUUUAUGUAAAAACUGACGUUAAAGGACGAAGGCACAGGGCACGAACAGGAUUAGAUACCCUAAUAGUCUUUGCAGAGAAUUAUGAAUGCCAUAGGUUAGAUAGAGGUCAGGAACCUACCCCAGGGUGAGACCUCGAAUAUUUAGUCUAUAAACGAAAGUGUAAGCAUUUCACCUCAAGAGUAAUGUGGCAACACAGGAACUGAAAUCACUAGACCGUUUCUGACACCAGCAGUGAAGUAUGUUAUUUAAUUCGAUGAUCCACGAAAAACCUUACCACAAUUUGAAUAUUAAUAAUAAUAACAUUAUUAAUACAAGCGUUGCACGGCUGUCUUCAGUUAAUGUUGUGAAACUGUGGUUCGGUCCAUAAAAUUAACGAAAACCCUUGCUUUAUUUAUAAAAAUACAAAUUAAUUAUAAAGCAGUUCACCUUUAUAUUGUAUAUGAUAAA
rnacentral:rRNA from 1 species